GAUGAACGCUGGCGGCGUGCCUAAUACAUGCAAGUCGAGCGAACAGACGAGGAGCUUGCUCCUCUGACGUUAGCGGCGGACGGGUGAGUAACACGUGGAUAACCUACCUAUAAGACUGGGAUAACUUCGGGAAACCGGAGCUAAUACCGGAUAAUAUAUUGAACCGCAUGGUUCAAUAGUGAAAGACGGUUUUGCUGUCACUUAUAGAUGGAUCCGCGCCGCAUUAGCUAGUUGGUAAGGUAACGGCUUACCAAGGCAACGAUGCGUAGCCGACCUGAGAGGGUGAUCGGCCACACUGGAACUGAGACACGGUCCAGACUCCUACGGGAGGCAGCAGUAGGGAAUCUUCCGAAAUGGGCGAAAGCUUGACGGAGCAACGCCGCGUGAGGGAUGAAGGUCUUCGGAUCGUAAAACUCUGUUAUUAGGGAAGAACAAAUGUGUAAGUAACUAUGCACGUCUUGACGGUACCUAAUCAGAAAGCCACGGCUAACUACGUG
rnacentral:rRNA from 1 species